rnacentral:rRNA from 1 species
GAUUGAUGGCUCAGUGAGGCCUUGGGAUUGGCCAGGGGAGAUGGGCAACCAUCACCCCAGGCCGAAAACUUGGUCAAACUUGGUCAUUUAGAGGAAGUAAAAGUCGUAACAAGGUUUCUGAUCCUUCCAAUGGUGAACGUCAUUCAGGAAGCCUUUGUCGCCUGAAAGGGUGUGCAUACCGCGACUCUAAACAAUGUAAGUAUGUCAAGGACAAGUCGGGGGUCUGUGAAGGCUCCCGGCGACGCUGUCAAAUUGCGGGGAGUCCCUUAGAGCUUUCACUACUAAGCGGUGUCCGAAAGGUCACCGUGGCCAGGGUAAUGCCCUCGGGUACAGUCACAACGUGGAAGAUUGGGUAACCUGCAGCCAAGUCCUGUCGCCUGGAGAGAGCGGUACAAAGCUUUCUACAGGCGUGGAUGCUGUUCACAGGCCAAAUGGUAGCGGGUUCGGCUGCGGCCGGGCUCAAGAUAUGGUCGGUCCUGCGAGGAAACUUGCGGGGAGUUCGCCGGGUUGUUGGGCUCUCGUCGCACGAGUGGCGCACAACCAGUAACAAGAAAACAAACGUUCCGUAGGUGAACCUGCGGAAGGAUCAUUA